GGAGAGGCGAUGCGAGACGUGCCUCCACUGUCGGCCGUGCUUCGAUGGCGCCAGAGGCAAGGACGACUGGAAGCACUACGAGUGCACAGCAGAGAAUCCUCUUGGCGCUAGCUCCAGUAGACCGGUGGGGCUCAUACUGCUUGAGAAACAAGGUAAGGCAACCAUGUCAACAGCCCUGGCGGCAGCUCUGCUUCUCUUGCUCGCUCUUCUGCUGUUUCUCGUGGCUUUCUUCUGCAUCCUGGCGUGGAACAGACGACGCCUAUGGCUGCGAGGACUGCGUGGACGAGCCAGAGGGCCACAACGCGCGGGAAGUGCUGCGCGCGGCCUCGUACAGUGGGGCGUCUGCGUCCUGCGAACACGCUGAGGCACACAAGCCGGCAUAGAGUGGACAUCUACAGCUUUGCAAAGUCGAGACGAUAUUUUUCACUCAAUCCGAGAUCAAAAGCAUAUUUAACCUUGCGAUUUUUUUCGACCAAUUAGUCGGUGCAAUACGAAAAUAUGAAACCUUCUAGAACCAUCGCAGUUUGGAACGAAUGCCAUGCCCUAUUUGUAGGAGUAGAGAGAGGGCUUGUCUGUUUCUUCUGAUAGAUGUAGUUUUCCUAAAAUAAGUGUGGCCAAGUGGUGCACUAUAAAAGCAGGCCAGUAGACUUCUGAGGCGCCCCUUGGUCUUAGUACUAUAUGCACAUUAUUUAAACAAAUCGAUGACGGUGAAGACUGCACGCUAAGUUUUCAAUUUUACGUAUAUAAAUCAAUCACAGAUGACGUUAUUAACUCUAGCAGGCGUAUUGGCGUAGUUGUGGCAAUUUAAUGACACGGCUGAUAAAUGCUCUAUCUUGAAAAGAAAACAUUCUCCCUUUCCUAAUGCCAAUAAGCACGCAGCAUUAUUUUCUAUAUAAGGUCAACGUUUGUGUUUUUUUAAUUCUUUUGAAUAAAUGUUAGCCCAUGCUUUCUCGUUAGUCUUUUUUCUCACUUUCCGAACUCUUCCCUGUAGGAGUUACUCAGUUUUUCGCCUUCGAACUUUUUUUUUUUGGACCUUCAACACACAUUGGUGUAAGAACUGUCGCUAUAUUCUAUUGACUCGCCCUAUUCGUACGGUUUUCAUUAGCCCUACACAGCGAAAAAUACUGAAUGCAUUUCUUAUUGCGGCACCAUUUUAAUUAAACAGCCUUAUAAAUCUCGUUUCGCAGGAGUUCCAGCGUCGGCGUCGUUGAUUGUGAGCAAUAAAUGAUCAUCUUUGCGUGAACUAAAAAUCUGUAAAUACGCAAAUAAAAUAUAUAAUGAAACA